rnacentral:rRNA from 1 species
UACAGAGGUGGCAAGCGUUGUUCGGAAUUACUGGGCGUAAAGGGCGCGUAGGCGGCCUUCUAAGUCAGACGUGAAAUCCCCCGGCUUAACCUGGGAACUGCGUCUGAUACUGGGAGGCUUGAGUAUGGGAGAGGGAUGUAGAAUUCCAGGUGUAGCGGUGAAAUGCGUAGAUAUCUGGAGGAAUACCGGUGGCGAAGGCGGCAUCCUGGACCAUAACUGACGCUGAGGCGCGAAAGCUGGGGGAGCAAACAGG